rnacentral:rRNA from 1 species
AGACCCGAAACCCGGUGAUCUAGCCAUGGGCAGGUUGAAGGUUGGGUAACACUAACUGGAGGACCGAACCGACUAAUGUUGAAAAAUUAGCGGAUGACCUGUGGCUGGGGGUGAAAGGCCAAUCAAACCGGGAGAUAGCUGGUUCUCCCCGAAAGCUAUUUAGGUAGCGCCUCGUGAACUCAUCUCCGGGGGUAGAGCACUGUUUCGGCUAGGGGGCCAUCCCGGCUUACCAACCCGAUGCAAACUGCGAAUACCGGAGAAUGUUAUCACGGGAGACACACGGCGGGUGCUAACGUCCGUCGUGAAGAGGGAAACAACCCAGACCGCCAGCUAAGGUCCCAAAGUCAUGGUUAAGUGGGAAACGAUGUGGGAAGGCCCAGACAGCCAGGAUGUUGGCUUAGAAGCAGCCAUCAUUUAAAGAAAGCGUAAUAGCUCACUGGUCGAGUCGGCCUGCGCGGAAGAUGUAACGGGGCUAAACCAUGCACCGAAGCUGCGGCAGCGACACUUUAGUGUUGUUGGGUAGGGGAGCGUUCUGUAAGCCGUUGAAGGUGUCCUGUGAGGGGUGCUGGAGGUAUCAGAAGUGCGAAUGCUGACAUAAGUAACGAUAAAGCGGGUGAAAAGCCCGCUCGCCGGAAGACCAAGGGUUCCUGUCCAACGUUAAUCGGGGCAGGGUGAGUCGACCCCUAAGGCGAGGCCGAAAGGCGUAGUCGAUGGGAAACGGGUUAAUAUUCCCGUACUUGGUGUUACUGCGAAGGGGGGACGGAGAAGGCUAUGUUGGCCGGGCGACGGUAGUCCCGGUUU